rnacentral:rRNA from 1 species
UACAGAGGGUGCGAGCGUUGUCCGGAAUCACUGGGCGUAAAGGGCGCGUAGGCGGCUUGAUAAGCGUGCGGUGAAAGCCCGGGGCUCAACCCCGGGUCGGCCGUGCGAACUGUCGAGCUGGAGCACUGUAGAGGCAGGUGGAAUUCCGGGUGUAGCGGUGGAAUGCGUAGAGAUCCGGAAGAACACCGGUGGCGAAGGCGGCCUGCUGGGCAGUGGCUGACGCUGAGGCGCGACAGCGUGGGGAGCAAACAGGG